rnacentral:rRNA from 1 species
UACAGAGGUCUCAAGCGUUGUUCGGAUUCAUUGGGCGUAAAGGGUGCGUAGGCGGUGAGGUAAGUCGGAUGUGAAAUCCCGGGGCUCAACCCCGGAACUGCAUUCGAUACUGCUCUACUUGAGGACUGGAGAGGAGAUUGGAAUUCACGGUGUAGCAGUGAAAUGCGUAGAUAUCGUGAGGAAGACCAGUGGCGAAGGCGAAUCUCUGGACAGAUCCUGACGCUGAGGCACGAAGGCUAGGGGAGCAAACGGG